rnacentral:lncRNA from 1 species
UGACAAAACAUUAGUCGAUCGGUAUUUAUCUAUCACUGAAAAAAACCUUCAUUGAACCAAUUCCUUUUCUUUCCAUCCCACAUUUCUGGGGUAUCCUUUAACAUCAGUGAACUUUAGAGACAACCUCCUACCAACCAGCUGUGUCUCACAAUUGGCCAAUGCUCAGCUCAAGAGCUUCUUUCUCAACAGAGGAAAACAAACAACCUUCCUUCUGAUUAUUCGCUUAUUCUGGUGGAUGAAGUUGGGUGCUUCCUGUACAUUGAUUUUGCUUCCUUCUGGCUCACCAAGAAAAUCAAGACCAAAAAAGUGACUGAAACCCAAUUACUUGGGGAACAGAUGAAGAGGAUCCCAAGCAAUGGUUGAGUCUCCUCCAUGGCUCCAGAACUCACAGGAUAGCCCCUUUCUCGCUGGUCCAUGGCUCCUGCUCUGAUUUUAGUAUCUGGUUCCUGGGAUCAAAUAACAUCAUCUCCUCCUUCCAUCCCUCCAGGACUAAGGGUAGCAAUGAUUUAUUCUUCUUUGCAGUCUCUGAGUCACAUCAGUUCCCUUGCUUGCUUUCUCAGCUUUUCUAUUAUCUAUGUGACCAGUUCC